UAAAAUAAUACACCCCAAAUCCUCGUAUGCUCUUUUAGGGUAUCAAAACCACACGCACACACACAUAACACACAGGCACACAUAACACACAGACACACAUGCGGCACAGGAAUGGCACAGAGAGGGAUAGAGACAGAGGAAGCAAAACAUGCACAGGCAUGAAAGGAGUGAACCAACCGCACACCCUGCCGACAGACAGGAUAAAGGGUGAGGGGAAGACUCUCAGGAAUGCGAGAGGAAACGUUCGAGGGAAAAAUGGCCAAGUAUUUUGCUAUCGUCUCUCUGCCAUCUCUUGCCCAGUCCCCAUCCCUCUCUUCCGUUUUCUGUGUAUUUGAGGGUAAAAUUAUGACAGGAGGAAAUAAAAAAGCAUAAAUUUA